UAGAGUUUGAUCCUGGCUCAGAGCGAACGCUGGCGGCAGGCUUAACACAUGCAAGUCGAGCGGGCGUAGCAAUACGUCAGCGGCAGACGGGUGAGUAACGCGUGGGAACAUACCUUUUGGUUCGGAACAACACAGGGAAACUUGUGCUAAUACCGGAUAAGCCCUUACGGGGAAAGAUUUAUCGCCGAAAGAUUGGCCCGCGUCUGAUUAGCUAGUUGGUGAGGUAACGGCUCACCAAGGCGACGAUCAGUAGCUGGUCUGAGAGGAUGAUCAGCCACAUUGGGACUGAGACACGGCCCAAACUCCUACGGGAGGCAGCAGUGGGGAAUAUUGGACAAUGGGCGCAAGCCUGAUCCAGCCAUGCCGCGUGCGGGAAGAAGGCCUUCGGGUUGUAAACCGCUUCUGUCAGGGAAGAAAAGCUCCGACCUAAUACGACGGAGUCAUGACGGUACCUGAAGAAUAAGCACCGGCUAACUACGUGCCAGCAGCCGCGGUAAUGCGACGUCGGCCCAAUCGCC
rnacentral:rRNA from 1 species